ACAAGUACCGUGAGGGAAAGUUGAAAAGAACUUUGAAGAGAGAGUUCAAAAGGGCGUGAAACCGCGUAGAAGAAAACGGACGGAGCCGUCGGGAGCCUUCGGGAAUCAGUCUUACGAUACGCGAACGUGCCGUAGUUUCGGAACGAAAGUCCGACUGCGAAACGCUUGUAACGUUCGUUUGGCGCAUUUCUCGAAGGUAAGCACCGCGACCGAUACGAAAGGCCGACGAAGCGAUUCGAUUGAGGGCGAGUCCUCUUACGGGGACUCGUAACCAGUCUUUUCGUUCGAAUCGUCGGAUCGCAGUAUGUAUCGAGCGCCAAAGUAAAAUAUACAUCGGCCGUAAAAGCUCGUCGAGCGAUGGAUAGUCGGUUAAUAGUGUUGGUACUUGCUCGCAGGUGCCGAUCUAUUCGAUUCGACUUAGAAGUCGUCGACGACGUUACGAUGUAUAGGCGUCUGCGGUGUCAGUGUCGGCCACCCAUCCGACCCGUCUUGAAACACGGACCAAGGAGUCUAACAUAUGCGCGAGCUAAUGGGUGGAAAACCCAAAAGCGUAAUAAAAGUAAACGCUGUUUCGGACAGCUAAGGUACGAUCUUAGAGUCCGAGCGACUUUAAGCGCAGUACCGUCCCGUCCCGACCGCAUGUCGGUAGGGCGGAGAUAGAGUGCAUACGUUGGGACCCGAAAGAUGGUGAACUAUGCCUGAGCAGAGCGAAGCCAGAGGAAACUCUGGUGGAGGUUCGUAGCGGUUCUGACGUGCAAAUCGAUCGUCAGACUGGUAUA
rnacentral:rRNA from 1 species